rnacentral:lncRNA from 1 species
AGAGGCGGGGCGAGCGCGCGCGGGGCGGAAGUCGGCCACCUUCCUCCGUCCCGGCCGUUAGCCCAGCCAAGCCCAGCCAAGCCCAGCCAAGCCCCGCCGAUCGCGGGCACCGGAGCCAGCCCCGCAGCGGCACACGCCCCUGCUGAAAGGCACACUGAAGGAGCCAACCCUCUCCCCUCUGGACGUGGCAAGGGUUUCCUGUCGGGGCAGCCCCAGGCAUCUUCACGGCCAGGACUCAGGAAGCUGGAGAAACAAACCCUCUUGGCUGUCUGCUGUCCAGGGAGUCGCCACUCCCUUCAUUAUAGCCUUGCUCAGAGUGCAGCGGCAGGCCUGGGGAUGGCCUCGGGAGAAAAGCACAUCUCCCAGGAUCCUGAGAGAGCUUGAACCAGACCACUGUGGACACGGUGGCCACCCGUCACCACUACCCUUCCCAAGGGGAGACGAGGAGCAAGUAGGCUUGAGGGAAAAGCUGCACAGGACUCGUGUCUUGAAAUGUCUAAGACGCAUGUCAGAAAUGCAGGAGCCUAACCCAGAGGAAGUGGAGACUCCUUUACUGCACAUCUGUCUGCUCCAGGCCA